rnacentral:rRNA from 1 species
UGGGGAAUAUUGCGCAAUGGGCGAAAGCCUGACGCAGCAACACCGCGUGAGGGAUGACGGCCUUCGGGUUGUAAACCUCUUUCAGCUCCGACGAAGCGAAAGUGACGGUAGGAGCAGAAGAAGAUGCGGCCAAACUACGUGCCAGCAGCCGCGGUGACACGUAGGCAUCAAGCGUUAUCCGGAUUUAUUGGGCGUAAAGAGCUCGUAGGCGGUUCGGUAAGUCGGGUGUGAAAACUCUGGGCUCAACCCAGAGAGGCCACUCGAUACUGCUGUGACUAGAGUGCGGUAGGGGAGCGGGGAAUUCCUGGUGUAGCGGUGAAAUGCGCAGAUAUCAGGAGGAACACCGGUGGCGAAGGCGGGUCUCUGGGCCGGAACUGACGCUGAGGAGCGAAAGCGUGGGGAGCGAACAGGAUUAGAUACCCUGGUAGUCCACGCCGUAAAACGGUGGGCGCUAGGUGUGGGGAUCGUUUCCACGAUCUCCGUGCCGUAGCU